rnacentral:misc_RNA from 1 species
UGGAUCAUCACAUUAUUCAAGAAAUCAUAUAUUACAAGAAAGACGUUAAAGAUCAUCAUAUGUGGAAGAGAGAACGGUCUAAAGCAAGACAGAGUACAAACAUUGGGUUCACAGCAAGAGUAGAUGCAAAAAUUAGACAGUUGAGAGGGAGGCUGCACAAAAAGUAUACUUCAAUGGGUUCCCAAAUUGAACUAACACAACCAUAGCUGUGCAUUACUGAUUUUUCCUUUCUUUAGGGAUUCUCUCCCUUUUUGAUUACAAAAGAAUGUAGGGUUUUUGCCAUUUGCAAUUCUUUUGCAGGCCCCUUUUUUUGACUUGUUUUUGUAAAAUCAUUUGUCUAGUUGUAGGUCUCAUUCGUUUGUUCCAAAGUUAGUGUGCUCACUGUAUUGUACAAUACUCA